UUCGCUCUAUACCCUUUGUGAACAUACCUAUAACUGUUGCUUCGGCGGGUAGGGUCUCCGUGACCCUCCCGGCCUCCCGCCCCCGGGCGGGUCGGCGCCCGCCGGAGGGAUAACCAAACUCUGAUUUAACGACGUUUCUUCUGAGUGGUACAAGCAAAUAAUCAAAACUUUUAACAACGGAUCUCUUGGUUCUGGCAUCGAUGAAGAACGCAGCGAAAUGCGAUAAGUAAUGUGAAUUGCAGAAUUCAGUGAAUCAUCGAAUCUUUGAACGCACAUUGCGCCCGCCAGCAUUCUGGCGGGCAUGCCUGUUCGAGCGUCAUUUCAACCCUCAAGCUCUGCUUGGUGUUGGGGCCCUACAGCUGAUGUAGGCCCUCAAAGGUAGUGGCGGACCCUCCCGGAGCCUCCUUUGCGUAGUAACUUUACGUCUCGCACUGGGAUCCGGAGGGACUCUUGCCGUAAAACCCCCAAUUUUCCAAAGGUUGACCUCGGAUCAGGUAGGAAUACCCGCUGAACUUAAGCAUAUCAA
rnacentral:rRNA from 1 species